AUGGCGGAUGACGCCGGUCUGGGGGCCCUGGGAUGGGGAACCGCGGUGGCUUCCGCGGAGGUUUUGGCAGUGGUAUCCGGGGCCGGGGUCGCGGCCGUGGACGGGGCCGGGGCCGAGGCCGCGGAGCUCACGGAGGCAAAGCCGAGGAUAAGGAGUGGAUGCCUGUCACCAAGUUGGGCCGCCUGGUCAAAGACAUGAAGAUUAAAUCUCUGGAGGAGAUCUAUCUCUUCUCUCUGCCCAUCAAGGAAUCUGAGAUCAUUGACUUUUUCUUGGGGGCCUCUCUCAAGGAUGAGGUUUUGAAGAUUAUGCCGGUGCAGAAGCAGACCCGUGCAGGCCAGCUCACCAGAUUCAAGGCAUUUGUUGCUAUUGGGGACUACAAUGGUCACGUCAGUCUCGGUGUUAAGUGUUCCAAGGAGGUGGCCACUGCCAUCCGUGGAGCCAUCAUCCUGGCCAAGCUCUCCAUUGUCCCCGUGCGCAGAGGCUACUGGGGGAACAAGAUCGGCAAGCCUCGCCUCCUGAUACUGCUAGACACCACUAACUUCUAUGAACUUGUCACCUGCUGCCAUCAUGCUGAAGUACUGGUGCCACAAGGGACCAAAACUGUUAAAUGGUUAAUCCUCUCCCCGCCCCGGAAUGGCGGCAGUGGCGAAGAUCCGGGAGCGCCGCGCGAGGCACUCUGGGAGCGGAAGAAGGAGGCCACGCGGGGGCGGGUGAACCGGAAGAAGAGGAGCUGGGCCUGA